UCAACACGACUCGUUUAUUACCAAACAAGUAUGUACUAUGUAGUAUCAUGUUAUCAACUAUUUGAAUUGCAUAAACAUCUCUUACAUUUUAACUUUAAUUUUGAUAUUGAUGACCAUUAAUUAACUAGUUAUGACAUAAAUUUUAGGCCACAUUACAAUGUCAAUAUGACAACAGUUCAAGUUUGGUCUGAAUUUCUAAAUCUAACAACAAAUGUAUCACAUGCUAGAGACUAUAAAGAGACAAUAAUUGACAGUGGUACAAUUUUGGCUUACUUCCCAGAUGCUAUAUACCAGGCAUUAGUGAAGAAGAUUCUCUGGCAGCUUGAUAUAAAGUUACAAACCCUUCAUGAGUAGUAUACAUGAUUUCAGCACCCUGGAAGUGUGGAUAAUGAUUUUCCUACUAUCACCUUUCAUUUGGAAAAUUUAGUCCUCUUGAAAGUGUAUCCUAAUGAGUAUAUCUUCCUCUUUAUAAGUAUCUUCCCUUGUUCAGACUGCUCAAUAACAUGAUUAUUAUGCUUUUGAGGCUACUUUACAAAUCAGAUGUUGUUACUUUGUAAUCCUAGUACAGUUGUGUGAAGUUAAGGCUUUCAGGUUUUUCUGUACUGCAUAGUUUAUGUUGU